UACGGAGGGGGCUAGCGUUGUUCGGAAUUACUGGGCGUAAAGGGCUCGUAGGCGGCCAACUAAGUCAGACGUGAAAUCCCCAGGCUCAACCUGGGAACUGCGUCUGAUACUGGAUGGCUUGAAUCCGGGAGAGGGAUGCAGAAUUCCAGGUGUAGCGGUGAGAUGCGUAGAUAUCUGGAGGAAUACCGGUGGCGAAGGCGGCAUCCUGGACCGGCAUUGACGCUGAGGAGCGAAAGCUAGGGGAGCAAACGGG
rnacentral:rRNA from 1 species